rnacentral:snRNA from 1 species
AUCUCUUCUUGGCCUCCUGGCUGCCUCAAGUGAGUGCCUGUUCUCACCGGUGUCAUAGCCAAUGUGUCCUCUAUCCAAGGACAAUAUGUGAAGUGGAUGUUUGGAGAAGGGAGACCCAUCAACUUGGGACUGCAGCACCUCCCAGAAGGGUGCAUCCCUU